rnacentral:rRNA from 1 species
CCUACGGGCAGCUGCUGUGGGGAAUAUUGGACAAUGGGCGAAAGCCUGAUCCAGCCAUGCCGCGUGUGUGAAGAAGGCCUUCGGGUUGUAAAGCACUUUCAGUGGGGAAGAAAGCCUUGGGGCUAAUACCCUCGAGGAAGGACAUCACCCACAGAAGAAGCACCGGCUAACUCCGUGCCAGCAGCCGCGGUAAUACGGAGGGUGCGAGCGUUAAUCGGAAUUACUGGGCGUAAAGCGCGCGUAGGCGGUCUGAUAAGCCGGUUGUGAAAGCCCCGGGCUCAACCUGGGAACGGCAUCCGGAACUGUCAGGCUAGAGUGCAGGAGAGGAAGGUAGAAUUCCCGGUGUAGCGGUGAAAUGCGUAGAGAUCGGGAGGAAUACCAGUGGCGAAGGCGGCCUUCUGGACUGACACUGACGCUGAGGUGCGAAAGCGUGGGUAGCAAACAGGAUUAGAUACCCGUGUAGUC